UACGAAGGGUGCAAACGUUGCUCGGAAUUAUUGGGCGUAAAGAGCUCGUAGGCGGUUCGUCGCGUCGGCUGUGAAAACCCGGAGCUCAACUCCGGGCCUGCAGUCGAUACGGGCGGACUAGAGUUCGGCAGGGGAGACUGGAAUUCCUGGUGUAGCGGUGAAAUGCGCAGAUAUCAGGAGGAACACCGGUGGCGAAGGCAGGUCUCUGGGCCACUACUGACGCUGAGAAGCGAAAGCAUGGGGAGCGAACAGG
rnacentral:rRNA from 1 species